AUUGAACGCUGGCGGCAGGCCUAACACAUGCAAGUCGAACGAGUGGCGGACGGGUGAGUAAUGUCUGGGAAACUGCCCGAUGGAGGGGGAUAACUACUGGAAACGGUAGCUAAUACCGCAUACCAUCGGAUGUGCCCAGAUGGGAUUAGCUAGUAGGUGGGGUAACGGCUCACCUAGGCGACGAUCCCUAGCUGGUCUGAGAGGAUGACCGGCAAAACGGGAAUGGGGACACGGUACAGACUCUAACGGGGGGCAGAGGUGGGGAAUAUUGCACAAGGGGCGCAAGCCUGAGGCAGCCAUGCGGCGUGUAUGAGGAAGGCCUUCGGUUUGUAAAGUACUUUCAGCGAGGAGACGUUACUCGCAGAAGAAGCACCGGCUAACUCCGUGCCAGCAGCCGCGGUAAUA
rnacentral:rRNA from 1 species